rnacentral:rRNA from 1 species
UACGUAGGGUGCAAGCGUUAAUCGGAAUUAGCUAGGGCGUAACGUGCGGCAGGCGGUUAAUGUAAGACAGAAUGUGAAAUGCCCGGCUUAACCUGGGAACUGCAUUUGUGACUGCACGGCUAGAGUGUGUCAGAGGGGGUAGAAUUCCACGUGUAGCAGUGAAAUGCGUAGAUAUGUGGAGGAAUACCGAUGGCGAAGGCAGCCCCCUGGGAUAACACUGACGCUCAUGGCACGAAAGCGUGGGGAGCAAACAGG